rfam:Bathycoccus prasinos genomic : Mitochondrion.
UGGGGACUACGGCCGCAAGGCUAAAACCCAAAGGAAUUGACGGGGGCUUACACAAGCGGUGGAGCAUGUGGUUUAAUUCGAAACAACGCGCAAAACCUUACCAAUCCUUGACAUAUGAAAAACCAGGGUGUUUACCCGCUCUGUCUCUUUUAUACAGGUGCUGCAUGGCUGUCGUCAGUUCGUGGUGUGAGCUGUUGGGUUAAGUCCCAGAACGAACGCAACCCUCCUUUGAAAUGAAGGUUUACCUUUUUCAAAGACUGCCAAGGAUAUCUUGGAGGAAGGUGAGGAUGACGUCAAGUCCGCAUGGCCCUUAUGGGUUGGGCUACACACGUGCUACAAUGGGAAUGACAAAAGGAGGCAACAUGGCAACAUUGAGCAAAUCCCAAAAAGUUUCCUUAGUUCGGAUUGUUCUCUGCAACUCGAGAACAUGAAGUUGGAAUCGCUAGUAAUCGUAGAUCAGCACGCUACGGUGAAUUUGUAUCUAAGCCUUGUACACACCGCCCGUCACACUCUGAAAAUUUUCAUGCCUUGAAGCAAAAGAAGUUCACCAAGAACACACAGCGCAAUUAAAAAAAAAACAUCUUCCCUUUUUUUUCUGUGUCUUUGUUGGAACCUUUUCUAGAGUUAGGGAGGUGAUUGGAGUGAAGUCGUAACAAGGUAGCUGUAGGGGAACCUGUAGCUG